GCUAAACCUAUAAAUUAAACCCCCACCUUCGUUAAAAUCGCACCUCUGAGUAUUCACUGAUUUGAGUGAGUCUGAGAGAGAAAUUUAGAGAGUGAGACCUGAUUUUCCCCUCCUUUCCUUGCUUCUUCUUCUUUCCUCCUUGUUGGGCCGAAUCAGAGAGGGAGAAUCGAGAGAGGGAUACCGCCGGAGAGGAGGGACCCAGACCCGAUUUCCGGUGGGUCAACAGUGGGUAGUCGGAGGAUGCGUUUUCCGGUGAGAUUAGAGGAGAUUUCUGGUGAAUCUUCUAGCUUUAACCGCGAUUCUUAAGGGUUGUUCAGGAUGAUGACCGCGGGUUGGUUCUUCAGUCCUUUGUGGAUGGGCAUACUAUCACUGUUGAUCCGCAGAUCAUCAAUCAGUUCAUUGGAGUGCCUCUGCUCUAGAUCUCUGGCAGCCCGUAAAAUAUGGUUGUAUUAUCUCAUCUGGAUGAUCUCAGAGACUUUUUCCAUGCUGUCCCUCAGGGAGAGGAGCAUGCCACUACCAUCAGGAUCGGUGCCCUAUUUGCCCUACACUGCAUGCUUGCCAAGAUUGUCCAGCACAACCUCUGGCCCGUUGUUAGGCGCAGUGAUCUGAUCUUGAAGAGGGCUCAGUUCGUAUAUGCCAUCUGUCUUCGCUUGCCUUUCUGCCUAUGCAAGCAUAUUUUGGGAGUUAUUCUGGAGGCCCGUGAUGAGGGCAAUACCGGUCUUCCUUUUGGCUACCUGCUCAUUCAGAUUAUUUUACAGUUAGGCAUCGGUGUAACUGGAGAGCAGAAAAUGAAGAUUCAGGAUCCCAUCAGCAAGUAGACACUGAUGAAGUUUAACGCCCAGCUGAGGUGUGAUGAUCAGGAUGAUGUUCCACUGCCCCCUCUUAUCCAUGUAGCAGUUCCUGAUAUGGCAUCCUCUUUUCAGACUGCUCCUCCACCUUCGCAGCAGGAUGCCGGCUAUGCUUAGAUAUUGGAGGCUUUUGGCUGCCCUCCAGGGCGGCAUGAGCUCUAUGCAAUUGGCACUUUCAUCUUUGCAGCAGGAGGUUCACUCGAUCAACCUCCGUGUGGAGUAGAGCCAGCUGGACAUCCAGGAGUGUCUUAGGAUCAUCAUCCAUCCAACAGUGAUGAUGAGGACGAUGCGCCUUUGGCAAAUGCAUCUUGAUUUUCUUUGUAUCGUUUUUUUUUUUGUAUUGUUGGGACACUGUUUUGUGGAUUAUUUGUUAAAACAUUUUAACUAUUGGAUAUUAUUACUCUGUUUACACUUGUCCUUCUGAGACAUCUAGGGGGAGUAAUUUUUAUAUGGUUUUUAUCCUUA